CACUAUCAUAAGUCGGAAUGGUCAGAAGUCAAAAAAGUCCAAAAUUUAUAGAUUUCUCACUUCUAAUGUUUAUUAGGACACUAUAUGUUAUCUUGAUAAACAUUAAAGAAUGCGAAACUACAAGAAUCAGAUACAAAAAAAGAACACUUCCCAUAUUUCCUAUCAUUGGAUCAAAGAUUCGAACCCAUUUAAUUGUAUUGAUCAAUCAUGGAUGGUCAAUACGUACAAUUAACGGAUUUUGUCAUUGUUGUAAAGAUGAGUGGUUGUAAGUCAAGGCAGUCAUAAGUCAAGGAUUACCUGUAUUGUUAUUAAUAUAGGAAAUAGAAUGCACAUUUGUGGUUUAAUCCAUUGAAGAAUGAAAGUUAAAGUGAAUAUUAUAGGAAUGCAUGAGGAAGGAAAAAAAAAAAUCUUGCCAAAAGUAAUAUGGCAAGCCAUUAACUAAAGGGAAUCUUCUCUCUUUUGUUAUCUUUUAUAAGACAAGUUAAAAAAAAUUAUCUAGCACUGCUAGAUCUCAUAAUCACCAAUAUGCUAUAUUGUUAUACAGUGAUAUAAAAUUCCCCAAACUCAUUUUUAAUAUUUGCUGUAAUGUAACACCAGAAAAGAUCUCUGCCAUUUUGAAACUAUUAUUGUUUGAGGUAUGUGGAUAACCUUAUGAAUGUACUGUAUCACAGGAUAAUACUAUAUGACAAUGUGCUUGCAUCAGAAUUAGCAAGAAGUAAAAUUAGUCUGCCAUGAAUUUCAUCCAAAUGCAAAAUGCUUUGUUAGAAGCCUGUUUUGCAAAAAAUUUUGUAAGCAUUGCAUCCAGCUCUUUCAACAGUAGUUCCAUGAUGCUCUUAUACCAGGAAAACCAACAAUGUAUGAUCUUGUGAAAUGAUUUUGCAAUUUGAAUAGUUUUAAGAAUAAGCCUAGAAGCAGCCAACCAUCUAUGGCGACACCUGAGAUUCUGAAGGAAGUUCGGCUUUCACUGCAGCUUUCUUUUCAAAAGUCACUUUGAUAGUUGUCAUAGGAUGGUGUUCAACGUUUCUUACUAUUUAAGCUACUUUUCAAUACUAAGUUAUUCAGCAAUCUAUUCUCUCAUGUAAAUCAUGUUCCACCAACCUGAUAUCUGAU
rnacentral:lncRNA from 1 species